CAGUUUUCAAACGAGCAAGCUGUCUUCUAUUUCAGUGUACGAGUAUCUUGUCUAUCAUAACGUUCGUUACGAAUUGGCAGCAACACUGGUGGAACAUCAACGAGCGACAAUUCAUCUUCUGGAUAUUCUGUGUCCUUUGUACCUCUGUUCAGUCUUCUUAUGAAUUUCUUCCCACGACUGUUCAGCAGGUUCAGCGGUGUUAACCAUGGUGGAUCUCGAAAACUUGGACGUGCCUCCAAAGAACUGGGUGAAAGUGAAUAUAUCCACAUCAAAGUGAACGGCAGUUUCUGUGACCCUUCCCAC